UACAGAGGUGGCAAGCGUUGUUCGGAAUUACUGGGCGUAAAGGGCGCGUAGGCGGUCUUGUCAGUCCCUUGUGAAAUCCCCCGGCUCAACUGGGGAACUGCACGGGAAACAGCAGGGCUUGAGUUCGGGAGAGGGGAGCGGAAUUCCGGGUGUAGCGGUGAAAUGCGUAGAUAUCCGGAGGAACACCGGUGGCGAAGGCGGCUUCCUGGGCCGAUACUGACGCUGAGGCGCGAAAGCUAGGGGAGCAAACGGG
rnacentral:rRNA from 1 species